GCCUACGGGAGGCAGCAGUGGGGAAUAUUGCACAAUGGGCGCAAGCCUGAUGCAGCCAUGCCGCGUGUAUGAAGAAGGCCUUCGGGUUGUAAAGUACUUUCAGCGGGGAGGAAGGUGUUGUGGUUAAUAACCAUUAGCAAUGACGUACCGCAGAAGAUUUAAAACGGGGGC
rnacentral:rRNA from 1 species